CUUGACGAUCAUAGAGCGUUGGAACCACCUGAUCCCUUCCCGAACUCAGAAGUGAAACGACGCAUCGCCGAUGGUAGUGUGGGGUCUCCCCAUGUGANCCCGUGAGGCUUGACCAUA
rnacentral:rRNA from 1 species